CCUACGGGUGGCUGCAGUGGGGAAUAUUGCACAAUGGGCGCAAGCCUGAUGCAGCCAUGCCGCGUGUGUGAAGAAGGCCUUCGGGUUGUAAAGCACUUUCAGCGGGGAGGAAGGCGUUAAGGUUUAUAACCUUGGCGAUUGACGUUACCCGCAGAAGAAGCACCGGCUAACUCCGUGCCAGCAGCCGCGGUAAUACGGAGGGUGCAAGCGUUAAUCGGGAUUACUGGGCGUAAAGCGCACGCAGGCGGUCUGUCAAGUCGGAUGUGAAAUCCCCGGGCUCAACCUGGGAACUGCAUUCGAAACUGGCAGGCUAGAGUCUUGUAGAGGGGGGUAGAAUUCGAGGUGUAGCGGUGAAAUGCGUAGAGAUCUGGAGGAAUACCGGUGGCGAAGGCGGCCCCCUGGACAAAGACUGACGCUCAGGUGCGAAAGCGUGGGGAGCAAACAGGAUUAGAUACCCGAGUAGUC
rnacentral:rRNA from 1 species